UACGUAGGGUGCGAGCGUUAAUCGGAAUUACUGGGCGUAAAGCGUGCGCAGGCGGUUAUGCAAGUCAGAUGUGAAAUCCCCGGGCUCAACCUGGGAACUGCAUUUGUGACUGCAUGGCUGGAGUGCGGCAGAGGGGGAUGGAAUUCCGCGUGUAGCAGUGAAAUGCGUAGAUAUGCGGAGGAACACCGAUGGCGAAGGCAAUCCCCUGGGCCUGCACUGACGCUCAUGCACGAAAGCGUGGGGAGCAAACAGG
rnacentral:rRNA from 1 species